rnacentral:rRNA from 1 species
UACGAAGGGGGCUAGCGUUGCUCGGAAUCACUGGGCGUAAAGGGCGCGUAGGCGGCCAUUCAAGUCGGAGGUUAAAGCCCAGGGCUCAACCCUGGAAUUGCCUUCGAUACUGUUUGGCUAGAGACCGGAAGAGGUAAGUGGAACUGCGAGUGUAGAGGUGAAAUUCGUAGAUAUUCGGAGGAACACCAGUGGCGAAGGCGGCUCACUGGUCCGGUACUGACGCUGAGGUGCGAAAGCGUGGGGAGCAAACAGG